ACUUCUUUAUUAAAAUCAGUUUUUCAAAACGAUUUGCCAGAUUUGGACUUUUGGUGAUUUAUCAAUCUUACAUUGCACUCUGUGAGAUCAAAUUAAGAACCGUGACAUUGAGUUCGAACUUGUACUAGCUAGAGAACAAACGGAAUUCGCGCCCUCGCAGACGCGGAGCCCGAGGAGUUCUCGGGGCACAUCUACAAUAUUGUUCAUGAUGAAGAUGAGAUAUUCUAAUGCGGGACCAAUAUGUACAUCACAUUAUCAAUGAAACAAGAGCAACUGUCUUACUAAAAGAACGUGGUUCAGGAAAUUCUGAAAGUGCAUUCGGCGAAGAAGGACAGCAGCCACUGCAUUUAUACUUGUCGAGUAACAAUCCAAAAAGUAUUGAAAGUGCAAAGCUUUUGGCUAAAAAUCUUUUGGAUACAAUCAGCAUAAAGUUUCAUGCCUUUAGGGACUUUGUCACAAUCCAUAGGAUUGAGCUACACAUCCUGGGAUCCUGCCAUCAAUCCUUAGCUAUACAUCCUGGCAUCACCACAACCCUUCUUCAAGGGACUCUGUCACAAUCCAUAGGAUUGAGCUGCAGGGCAUUCUCAACCAAACAUGGUUUGCUAUCCCCAGCCUUCGUUAUCUAGUGGAAUGAGCUAUAGUGGAUAUUGUGGGAUAUAUCCUCAUGCCCACCCCUUUGCAGCAAGUUGCCUUAGCCCUUAGAAAGUCACAUUCUCUUGUCAAUUCAGCAGUUGCUCCUGCAACAACAACAGAAGCAAGCACAACAGCGAAUUCUAGCGAGAUCUUGUCUUAUAAGGACAAACGGCGUCUGCAUAAAUGAAAGUUUCAAGAGUUACCAACUGCUUCAAAGGGGCGUGCAAACCCCCAUAAGUGGAAAGGAAAAAAUGAAGUCAUGUUACCGAUCUUAAGUAGUUGGGAAUAAGGCUUUGCUAUAACUGUUGGUCUGCUGCUGCUGCUGUUACUUACUGGUCUGUUGCAGCUACUGCUUCCCUGGUGGCUGCUGCUGUUGCUUACUGGUCUGCUGCAGUUGCUGGCUUGCUGCAGCUGCUACUUCCCUGGUGGCUAUUGCUUGCUGGACUGCUGCUGCCGUGGAGGCUGAUGCUUGUUGGGUUGCUACUACUGCAAUGUUGUUGGGGCGGCUGCUACUAGAUGUUGGUCUACUGUAAUGUUGUUGCUGCAAUGGUUUUGUCCCUAGCCUUGGCUCUGUUUUGAUAUCAUUUUGUAUUAUUAACUUCCAAAACUACAUGUAGGGGCAUCGUUGAACCUACAUUGGUGUAAUGCCAGGAAAGAUGGUUCAAUGCUUGAAAAAUGUGGGAACAGCUAACCCUCUUGUGCUGAUCAAUGAGAUUGACAAGGUAUGCCAGUCUUAAUAACAUCGACAACUAAAUGGCUUUGUGUUCUGGUACUCUUUUAGUGUUCAGGAUGGGUUUUCUUUGGUUGUAGAGCACAAUUGCAUGUCUA